rnacentral:lncRNA from 1 species
UAUGGUUAGGUUUAGGUAGGGUUUUAGGGUUAGGUUUAGGAAGGGUUUAGGGUUAACAGGGUUUAAGGUUAGGUAGGGUUUUAAGAAGGGUUUAGGGUUAACAGGGUUUAGUGUUAGGUAGGGUUAGGUAGGGUUAGGCAGGGUUAGGCAGGGCUUAGGGUUAGGAAGGGUUUAGGAUUAAAAAGGGUUUAGGAUUAAGUAGGGUUUAGGGUUAAACAUGGUUUAGGGUAGGUAGGGUUAGGUAGAGUUUAGGGUUAGGUUUAGGUAGGGUUAGGCUUAGGAAGGGUUUAGGGUUAGCAGGGUUUAGGGUUAGGUAGGGUUUAGGGUUAGAAAGUGUUUAGGAUUAGGUAGGGUUUUUAGGGUUAGGCAGGGUUUAGGGUUAAGUAGGGUUUAGGGUUAAAUAGGGUUUAGGGUAAGGUAGAGUUUAGGGUUAGGUAGAGUUUAGGGUUAAGUAGGGUUUAGGGUUGGUAAGGAUUAGGGUUAGGUAGGGUUUAGGGUUGGUAGGGAUUAGGGUUAGAUAGGGUUUAGGAUUAGUAAGGUUUAGGGAUAGGUAGGGUUUAGGGUUAGGUAGGGUUUAGGGUUAGGUAGGGUUUAGAAUUAGGUAGGGUUAGUAGGGUUUAGGGUUAGGUAGGGUUUAGGGUUAGUAGGAUUUAGGGUUAGGUUGGGUUUAGGGCUAGAAAGGGUUUAGGGUUAGAAAAGUUUUAAGGAUAGGUAGGGUUUAGGGUUAUGUAGGGUUAGGGUUAGGUAGGGUUUAGAAUUAGGCAGGAUUUAGGGUUAGAAAGGGUUUAGGGUUAGGUAGGUUUUAGAAUUAGGUAGGGUUUAGGGUUAGCAGGAUUUAGGGUUAGAAAGGGUCUAGGGUUAGGUAGGGUUUAGGGUUACGCAGGGUUUAGGGUUAGGCAGGGUUUAAGGUUAGGUCAUGUUUAGGGUUAGAAGGGGUUUAAGGUUUAGAAUUAGGCAGGGUUUAGGGUUAGAAAGGGUUUAGGGUUAGCAGGGUUUAGGGUUAGAAAGGGUUUAGUGUUAGGUAGGGUUUAGGGUUACGCAUGAUUUAGGGUUAGAUCAGGUUUAGGGUUAAGCAGGGUUUAGGGUUAGGUUUAGAGUUAGAAGGGGUUUAAGGUUAGGUAGGGUUUAGGGUUAGUAGGGUUUAGAGUAGGCAGGGUUUAGGGUUAGGUAGGGUUUAGGGUUAGAUAGGGUUUAGAAAUAGGUAGGGUUUAGGGUUAGUAGGGUUUAAGGUUAGGUAGGGUUUAGAGUUAGAUAGGGUUUAUGGCUAGAAAGGGUUUAGGGUUAGGUAGGGUUUAGGGUUAGAUAG